rnacentral:rRNA from 1 species
UUUUCAACUUUUGACCUCGG